GCUCCGGUGGCCUAGCGGUUAGAGCGUCCGCCUAAUAUGUGGGAGGUAGUGGGUUAGAACCCAGGCAGAGUCA